rnacentral:misc_RNA from 1 species
UCUCCGUUGGUGAACCAGCGGAGGGAUCAUUACCGAGUUUACAACUCCCAGACCCAAUGUGAACGUUACCAAACUGUUGCCUCGGCGGGGUCACGCCCCGGGUGCGUCGCAGCCCCGGAACCAGGCGCCCGCCGGAGGAACCAACCAAACUCUUUCUGUAGUCCCCUCGCGGACGUUAUUUCUUACAGCUCUGAGCAAAAAUUCAAAAUGAAUCAAAACUUUCAACAACGGAUCUCUUGGUUCUG